UAGAAGAGGCUGUACAAAAACCUGAACACAGAUAUGUGACUACUCUUCAAAGAGGAGGGAAGUGGUAUUCAAACCACAGCUUCAUAUCAGAUGGAUUCUGCUCAUUCCUGUUCCAUCAGAGUCACUGUGGUUACAGCUGCUAAUGAAACACUGUGGGAGGAUUCACAUGAGCAGCAAAUCCACAUCACUGACAAACCACUGUGGGCCAUUCAGGCUCAAUCAGCUCCUUCCAUUGUUUAAUAUCCUUGGCAACAUGUUGGGCUCCAUCUGAAACAGACACUAAAGCACUGACUAAUAAACACUAACUGUGUACAAGCCAUAACAAAGACUGACUGCUGCAUUAUUUCUGACUGACACACAGGGCUGUGAAUGAGCCCUGUCACUGUGAUCAGGCUCCUCCUUCUAAUCCACCAACUUAGUGUUGAUGAAGACCAAACAGAGAGAUCACAGCCUUCUUUAUACUCGCUGGAGCUCACAGUUACUCAGCACUGCAGACAUGACGCCUCUGUUCACCUCACUGUUGCUGGCUGCUAUGUGCUUUGAAUGCAGAGCACAGAAAGACAACGUGCUGCAACCAAAAGAAGAUGUGACUGCUGCUGAAGGAGAGGCAGUGACACUUGGCUGUCAAUAUAACAGCAGUGGAACAACAAAUAAUCUCUUCUGGUACAAACAGGAGGGAAACAACAGCCCCAAAUUCAUACUGAGCCGCUUUUCAGAGAGUUCAGGGAACACACCAGACGAGUUCAAGGAGAGGUUUUCAUCCACACUGGAUUCCACCUUAAGAUCAGUUCCUCUGAAGAUCCAGAAGCUUCAGCUGUCUGACUCUGCUGUGUACUACUGUGCUCUGAGGCCCACAGUGACAGGAAACACCAAAACUCUGUACAAAAACCUUUGGAGCAAAGACAACAGAAUACUCCACAACAUCCACUAGAGGGAGUCACACACUGUUACACUGCAGUGGGAUGUGAUGGUAAAAUCCAGAAUCAUCUGCAAAAGGGACCAGAAAAUGAAGCCUUAAACUUGCAGUGUGUAGACAAAUUGAAUGAAGGAUCACCUGGUCGGCAUCACAGUCUCAGGUUUUGACUGAUUUGUUGUUUAUUAAAGAAGGUUCUCUGUUGUUCUCUCAGGCUGUCACUUCUUGUGUUGUGCCUCAAGGUUUAACUGUAAGUCCUCGAAUUUUAUAAAUCUUCAAUUUAGCUCAAAUUAUCUUACAAAGAACAGCAGAUUCCAUUGUUUUGUUGUCAAUAGGUGAUCAUAUUUUCCAUUAAUAUCCAGUGAUUACGUCAGCUGGUUUCAUGUGAACUGCAUGUUACCUUGGGGACUGUAGUCAGAGGCUCAGGAGGACCACAGAGGACUGUGGUCUUCCCAGUCCUGUUCACCCUGUACACCUCAGUCAUCAAAUACAACUCGGAGUCAUGGCACAUGCAGAAGUUACCAACACCUCCAAAACCAAGGAGAUUGUGGGAGGAAGCAGGAGCACCCAGAGAAAACCCACACAGGAAGAACAUGCAAACUCCCCACAGAAGGGCCCGAACCGCUGCAACACCUUUGUUCUAUUAUUGUUGAUAUUUUCUACAUUUUUAUACUAGUUUAUAGUUUGCAUGUGGAUUUGUGUUUUUUCUCUUUGUACUUUUCUACUGGAUAUUGAAUGUCCCUCUGGAUCAAUAAAA